UUUUGUGUGGGGAGAGGGCCAAGUCGUCUAUAUUGUCAGAGUAGCAUGCCUUGCGAUGACGGGCGUGCGCCAGGAUGAAAACGGAUCAGGGAAAAAGGGCAGCAAGGGGUCCGAGGCGGUUCGAGGCGGCGCCGGCGUCGGCCAGAUCAUCGACUUGGAGGUCUGUGAGACCGCUGCGGAGGGCGGCGAUGGCCAUGAGGAUCUGGACACGGGGUUCAAUGGCAGUGGCGGCCGACGGGUGAUCGGGCCUGACAUUAUGCGCGUCGUUGGCCUCGACGAUGAGGGCGCGUGCACGAUCGACGACGUCAUGGACAAACGAUAUAGUGCCGAUUUCGCUGAGCCACUCAUGGCCGUCGAGGACGCGGUCGACGAGGCCGGCCGGGUCGGGCGUCCAGAGGAAGCGUGUGAUUUUAGGCGCGGCGCAGGCGGCGGCAAUGGCCGCGUGCUCGUCGUCGGUGAGCAACAGUGGUCCGACCCUGGCUACGGACUCGGGCACGAACCGGGCGCCGCCGCGCAUGCCGCGAGCGACGGCGACGUGGGCCAGCGCGCCGCAGAGCGAGUGCGGCUCACGCUCUUGGGCGGUGGUGGGCUGCACGCCCCAGUGGGAAGCGACGUCGAGGAGACGAUUGGCCGCUUGGGUGGAAUCCGAUGCCUCGUGGUCAUCAGAAGAACCAUUCCAUGCAGCGUCGGCCGCCGCGCAUUCGGCGAGCCAGAUGUCAAAUGCGAGCGGAUCGGCGACUUCGGUGGGGAGGAUUGCAAGCGGUACGCGUGCGCCGCUGCGCACAAUGGCGGCGCGCGAUCGUGCCGCAAGAGUCGGCGGACAUGUCGGGCGCCGUGUCGUUGUCACGCCGUCGUAUGGCGUCGUACGAUUGGGGGCGUGUUUUCGGCCCCGGUCGGCUUCGUCAGCCAUGGCGUCGUCAUCGUGAUCCACCGCUGUCGUCAUUGAUGGUGGGUCGGCGUGGGCGGGGGCCAGUCGGGCCAGCGAGGCGGCAUGCGAGCCCGCAGCGGCCGCCAAGAGGCCCUGCAACUCGUGCGCGCCGAGCCACGCAUAGCGAGUGCCAAAAAGGGCGCCGGCCGUGUCCAUGUGGGUCCUGACGACAGCGGGCGGGAUAGCGGCUGGCGAGGCGACCACCCUCAUGAGCGAGCGCACUGCGGUGCAGGGCGUGCGACGCCAUAGGUGGGGGCACCGCGGAAAGAACUCGCCCUCGUACGUGUCGUGCGCAUCAAGCACGGCGGCGAGGAGCACGGGGACGAACCCAAUAUAGGGGCGCAGCGGCAGCGGCAGGGAAGCACCGGUUGGAGGCGGGAGUAGACGCAGGGCGAAUGCGCUCUCGGGCGCGGGUUCGCGGUACAUGCGGCCGACGAGGAUGCCGACACCGUUUGCGGCGUCGCCGCGCGCAAUGCGCACCAGGACGGCCCUUUCGUAAUAGUUGUCGUGCCCCCUGUGGAGCAGCAGAAACUGGUCGUCAGCGCCGGCGCACGACGCCGUCGGGCCCUGAAACCGCCACUUUUCGGCCGUUGCGCGCUCGUGCGCUGCUGUACGCGCGGCGUCUCCGAGUGACGCGACGAGUACCGCCGGCGGCGACGAGACGCGGUGCGAGACUAUUAGGUGGCGCGGGAAAAGCGAGAGCGCGGCGUAGGAGAGGGCCAUGUCGUCUACGAGCGAUGCCAACGCCGAGCGCGACGGCGGCCAGGUGUUCACGUAGGCGCGGGCGGCUUCCAUGGCAUCGGGAUCGGCCUGGAGGGUCUGCCACACGGCGACGAGGUCGUCGAUGGCGAGGUCGCGCCCGCGCACAUCGUCGUCAUAAGAGAUGCCAGCCGCCUCCAACACCUUGCGGCACUCGCGCUCUUCCUUUGCCUCGCUGUCUGACGGCGACGGCAGCGUCGGGCGGGCGCACAGGGCGUGCAGGAUGUCGGCCGCGCGGUCGAUCCACUUGCUUCCAUCGGCAUAGGUGUCGGCGUCGCGCAAGCGUUCCAAGUCGGCAAUGUCGCUCUCCAAGCGCCACCGGCGCUCCCAGUCCGACAGCGUCGGUUGCAUUCCUGUCUUUAGCCAGUCGGCCCUUUUCCGCCUUCUUCUUGCCUUUGAUGGCUUUUUUAGUUGCUUGAUUAUAGAGGAGCACGAGAGACGCU
rnacentral:lncRNA from 1 species